AUUCCAGCUUCAGUAGCGUAUAUUAAAGUUGUUGCAGUUAAAAAGCUCGUAGUCGCAUUUCUGGCGAGAGGAAUUGGUCCGACAUUUAUUGUGGGUACUCGAUUCUCUCUCGCCAUCCUUGAGUGGUCCGUUCUGGCAUUUAGUUGUCGGAGCGUCAGCCGCUCAUCGUUUACUGUGAGAAAAUUAGAGUGUUCAAAGCAGGCUUAUGCCGUUGAAUAUAUUAGCAUGGAAUAAUAAGAUAGGACCUCGGUACUAUUUUGUUGGUUUGCGCACCAAGGUAAUGAUGAACAGGGACAGUUGGGGGUAUCUGUAUUUCGUUGUCAGAGGUGAAAUUCUUAGAUUUACGAAAGACAAACUACUGCGAAAGCAUUUACCAAGGAUGUUUUCAUCG
rnacentral:rRNA from 1 species